rnacentral:lncRNA from 1 species
CUACUCAGUCAGUAGGUACAGGCCUCUCCAGGGCAACCCGCCCAAGCUCAUUUCCCUUCCCACCGCACCCCAUGCCAUUUCCGCCGUCCCAUCAGCGCCCCACCCUGACAAUCCCCAGCCCCAGAUCAAUCCAACCACCAGCUCUGUUGCCAAAAGUGGCUUAAAAAUCCUGCACAAUCCGAUGAUUUGGGUUGAAGCCGCUCCCAAACUGUGAUUUACAGCCCCAUGGCGGGCAACUUUCAGCCACUGCUCUCACUGCUGAGCCCCGUGGGUGUUUCUUGGUCCUGGCCUUCCAUGAUCCCCCAGCAGAGCCCAAGCUGCCCAUCACUGCCUCCUCCAACCUGGUUUGUAAUCCUCCCUUUCUGGCCUCUCCUCUCUUGGGAGGCUCUUCUUCCUCCUCUUACUCCUUAAGAAGCCGUGUUCCCAGGGCUCUGUUCUCAGCCUCUCUCCUCUCUCCCUGGGGACAUCCUGCUCCCGAGGUCUCCCUUGGCCAACACCAAACUCUGUCUCUUGAGCUCCAGAACUCUUCUUCCAACUGUGAAUGUCUCUACCAAGGUGUCUGCCAGCACCUGAAACUCACCUAUCUGGAACCACAUUAUGCUCCCUACCCCUGCCCCAAACUACCUCCAUUCAUGUCCGCAGCUCAGGGUGAUUUCUCUGCCUCCUCCCUCUCCCCUCCUCAUCAUCCUCUGUUCAGACCCUCACUCUGCCUUUUCUGGGCCCUUCUGCCCUCUCCUAAUAGAACUCCCUGCCUCCACCCUAGCCUCACUCCAGCCCUUCCUCCUCAGGAGCCGUUAGUCCUUCUAAGGCAAGGCAGGAAUCUAAUCACCUCCAGACUCUGCAGGACCCCACCCCCACCAGGAUAAAGCACAGACACAGGGCCCUUCACAACCUGCCUACUGCCCCCCCUGCCCCAACACAGCCUUCACUCUGGCAAUGCUGCCCUCUGACCCCUCCCUCGAUAGGACUAGCACUGGCAGCCCUUAGUCCCACCCCCACCCCC